rnacentral:rRNA from 1 species
CAGUAACCGCGGUAAUACGGAGGGAGCUAGCGUUGUUCGGAAUUAUUGGGCGUAAAGGGUGCGUAGGCGGUUUGGCAAGUUUGGUGUGAAAUCUUCGGGCUCAACUCGAAGUCUGCAUCGAAAACUGCCGGGCUUGAGUAUGGGAGGGGUGAGUGGAAUUUCCGGUGUAGCGGUGAAAUGCGUAGAUAUCGGAAGGAACACCUGUGGCGAAAGCGGCUCACUGGACCAUAACUGACGCUGAUGCACGAAAGCUAGGGGAGCAAACAGGAUUAGAUACCCCUGUAGUCCCUGUCUCUUAUAC